GCCGGGUGUGGUGGCGGGCACCUGUAAUCCCAGCUACUCAGGAGGCUGAGACAGGAGAAAUCACUUGAACCCAGGAGGCAGAAGUUUCAGUGAGCUGAGAUUGCGCCACUGCACUUCAGCCUGGGUGACAGAGAGAGACUCUGUCUCAA
rnacentral:sRNA from 1 species